AUAAAGUGUUAAUAAAAAAGUUUAAAUGAACUUAGGGCCUGAAGGCAGGGGCGGCGGAACAGAUUUCAGUUUGGGGGGGCUAAAUUUUUUUUUCUUGACUUCCCCCCCCCCCCGUCACCAAAUAAAAUUUCGGUCAGUGUACCAUUUGAAAAAAUGGUGAAAAAAAAUUUUUCCGGACAUAACAAAAAAUUUUUCCGGACAUACUCCAUUUUUACACAAAAUAUCAAAAAAUUUUCCCCUUAUACCUAAAUUUUUCAAAAAUAACCUACAUUUUUCCUUAAUUAUCAAAAUUUUUCCAGAGAAAACAAAAUUUUCUGGGGGGGGCUUAGCCCCCCCACUUUUACUUCUGGGGGGGCUUUAGCCCCCCUAGCCCCCCCUGUUCCGCCGCCACUGCGGCUGAAGGUAUAGUAGGCAGUCUAAGAAAUAUCUCGGAUAUUGUCGAUUUUCUUCCAUUCCGUCCUGUCCACUAUUCUGGCUGCUGUAAUCCGCGCUGCUCCUCUCCUCUGCCUUUGUUUUGCUACAAGAAGUCAAGGCCAUGUACAAAAAAGUAUUUCAAAUAUUAAUUUAUUUGUAAGGAUAUACUGAAACGUCUUUCUAUAAAUCAGGGGCGUUAAUUAUAAAAAGUGCAUCAUAAUUAGGGGGAGGGGUGCAGGCCUUACAUUUUCCAAAAAGUGGGGUGUGGUUUCAAUUCUGUGUUAUAUUACAUUUACGAAAUUGUUGAGCAUAUGGCAAAUUGAUGUGAAAUGUAAGUUUCUGACUUAUCAUUAAAAUAUUACUGAUCAGUAUCGGGAGAUUUUUAUUCUGUUAGAGCAAAGUUAUUAAGUCACCAC